rnacentral:rRNA from 1 species
UACGUAGGGCGCAAGCGUUAUCCGGAAUUAUUGGGCGUAAAGAGCUCGUAGGCGGUUUGUCGCGUCUGCUGUGAAAACUCGAGGCUCAACCUCGGGCUUGCAGUGGGUACGGGCAGACUAGAGUGCGGUAGGGGAGACUGGAAUUCCUGGUGUAGCGGUGGAAUGCGCAGAUAUCAGGAGGAACACCGAUGGCGAAGGCAGGUCUCUGGGCCGCAACUGACGCUGGAGGAAGCGGAAAGCAUGGGGAGCGAACAGG